rnacentral:rRNA from 1 species
GACGAACGCUGGCGGCGUGCUUAACACAUGCAAGUCGAACGGAAAGGCCCUGCUUUUGUGGGGUGCUCGAGUGGCGAACGCGUGAGUAACACGUGAGUAACCUGCCCUUGACUUUGGGAUAACUUCAGGAAACUGGGGCUAAUACCGGAUAGGAGCUCCUGCUGCAUGGUGGGGGUUGGAAAGUUUCGGCGGUUGGGGCUGGACUCGCGGCUUAUCAGCUUGUUGGUGGGGUAGUGGCUUACCAAGGCUUUGACGGGUAGCCGGCCUGAGAGGGUGACCGGCCACAUUGGGACUGAGAUACGGCCCAGAAUCCUACGGGAGGCAGCAGUGGAAAAUAUUGCACAAUGGGCGGAAGCCUGAUGCAGCAACGCCGCGUGCGGGAUGACGGCCUUCGGGUUGUAAACCGCUUUCGCCUGUGACGAAGCGUGAGUGACGGUAAUGGGUAAAGAAGCACCGGCUAACUACGUG